rnacentral:pre_miRNA from 1 species
AGUGGGAUAGCUGGGUCAAAUGGCAGUUCCAUUCCAAGUUUACUAAGGAAUCUCUAUACUGCUUUCCAGAGUGGUUGUACCAAUUUGCAGUCCUACCAGCCAU